CCUACGGGUGGCUGCAGUGGGGAAUAUUGGUCAAUGGGCGCAAGCCUGACCCAGCAACGCCGCGUGAAGGAAGAAGGCUUUCGGGUUGUAAACUUCUUUUAAGAGGGAAGAGCAGAAGACGGUACCUCUUGAAUAAGCCACGGCUAACUACUUGCCAGCAGCCGCGGUAAUACGGAGGUGGAAAGCGUUGUCCGGAUUUACUGGGUGUAAAGGGCGUGCAGCCGGGAAGACAAGUCAGAUGUGAAAUCCCGGGGCUCAACCGCAGAACUGCAUUUGAAACUGUUUUUCUUGAGUAGCGGAGAGGUAAUAGGAAUUCCGGGUGGAGCGGUGAAAUGCGUAGAGAUAAGGAAGAACACCAGUGGAGAAGGCGGAUGGCUGGACGGUAACUGACGGUGAGGCGCGAAAGCGUGGGGAGCAAACAGGAUUAGAUACCCGAGUAGUC
rnacentral:rRNA from 1 species